rnacentral:rRNA from 1 species
AACGAACGCUGGCGGCAGGCUUAACACAUGCAAGUCGAGCGCCCCGCAAGGGGAGCGGCAGACGGGUGAGUAACGCGUGGGAACGUACCCUUUGCUACGGAAUAGCUCCGGGAAACUGGAAUUAAUGCCGUAUGUGCCCUACGGGGGAAAGAUUUAUCGGCAAAGGAUCGGCCCGCGUUGGAUUAGCUAGUUGGUGGGGUAAUGGACUACCAAGGCGACGAUCCAUAGCUGGUCUGAGAGGAGGAUCAGCCACAUUGGGACUGAGACACGGCCCGAACUCCGACGUGCGGCAGCAGUGGGGACUAGUGGACGAUGGGCGCAAGCCUGAUCCAGCCAUGCCGCGUGAGUGAUGAAGGCCUUAGGGUUGUAAAGCUCUUUCACCGGAGAAGAUAAUGACGGUAUCCGGAGAAGAAGCCCCGGCUAACUUCGUGCCAGCCGCCGCAGUAA